UUAAGCGACUAAGCGUACACGGUGGAUGCCCUGGCAGUCAGAGGCGAUGAAGGACGUGCUAAUCUGCGAUAAGCGUCGGUAAGGUGAUAUGAACCGUUAUAACCGGCGAUUUCCGAAUGGGGAAACCCAGUGUGAUUCGUCACACUAUCAUUAACUGAAUCCAUAGGUUAAUGAGGCGAACCGGGGGAACUGAAACAUCUAAGUACCCCGAGGAAAAGAAAUCAACCGAGAUUCCCCCAGUAGCGGCGAGCGAACGGGGAGCAGCCCAGAGCCUGAAUCAGUGUGUGUGUUAGUGGAAGCGUCUGGAAAGGCGCGCGAUACAGGGUGACAGCCCCGUACACAAAAAUGCACAUGCUGUGAGCUCGAUGAGUAGGGCGGGACACGUGGUAUCCUGUCUGAAUAUGGGGGGACCAUCCUCCAAGGCUAAAUACUCCUGACUGACCGAUAGUGAACCAGUACCGUGAGGGAAAGGCGAAAAGAACCCCGGCGAGGGGAGUGAAAAAGAACCUGAAACCGUGUACGUACAAGCAGUGGGAGCACGCUUAGGCGUGUGACUGCGUACCUUUUGUAUAAUGGGUCAGCGACUUAUAUUCUGUAGCGAGGUUAACCGAAUAGGGGAGCCGAAGGGAAACCGAGUCUUAACUGGGCGUUAAGUUGCAGGGUAUAGACCCGAAACCCGGUGAUCUAGCCAUGGGCAGGUUGAAGGUUGGGUAACACUAACUGGAGGACCGAACCGACUAAUGUUGAAAAAUUAGCGGAUGACUUGUGGCUGGGGGUGAAAGGCCAAUCAAACCGGGAGAUAGCUGGUUCUCCCCGAAAGCUAUUUAGGUAGCGCCUCGUGAAUUCAUCUCCGGGGGUAGAGCACUGUUUCGGCAAGGGGGUCAUCCCGACUUACCAACCCGAUGCAAACUACGAAUACCGGAGAAUGUUAUCACGGGAGACACACGGCGGGUGCUAACGUCCGUCGUGAAGAGGGAAACAACCCAGACCGCCAGCUAAGGUCCCAAAGUCAUGGUUAAGUGGGAAACGAUGUGGGAAGGCCCAGACAGCCAGGAUGUUGGCUUAGAAGCAGCCAUCAUUUAAAGAAAGCGUAAUAGCUCACUGGUCGAGUCGGCCUGCGCGGAAGAUGUAACGGGGCUAAACCAUGCACCGAAGCUGCGGCAGCGACGCUGAUGCGUUGUUGGGCAGGGGAGCGUUCUGUAAGCCUGCGAAGGUGUGCUGUGAGGCAUGCUGGAGGUAUCAGAAGUGCGAAUGCUGACAUAAGUAACGAUAAAGCGGGUGAAAAGCCCGCUCGCCGGAAGACCAAGGGUUCCUGUCCAACGUUAAUCGGGGCAGGGUGAGUCGACCCCUAAGGCGAGGCCGAAAGGCGUAGUCGAUGGGAAACAGGUUAAUAUUCCUGUACUUGGUGUUACUGCGAAGGGGGGACGGAGAAGGCUAUGUUGGCCGGGCGACGGUUGUCCCGGUUUAAGCGUGUAGGCUGGUUUUCCAGGCAAAUCCGGAAAAUCAAGGCUGAGGCGUGAUGACGAGGCACUACGGUGCUGAAGCAACAAAUGCCCUGCUUCCAGGAAAAGCCUCUAAGCAUCAGGUAACAUCAAAUCGUACCCCAAACCGACACAGGUGGUCAGGUAGAGAAUACCAAGGCGCUUGAGAGAACUCGGGUGAAGGAACUAGGCAAAAUGGUGCCGUAACUUCGGGAGAAGGCACGCUGAUACGUAGGUGAAGUCCCUCGCGGAUGGAGCUGAAAUCAGUCGAAGAUACCAGCUGGCUGCAACUGUUUAUUAAAAACACUAGCACUGUGCAAACACGAAAGUGGACGUAUACGGUGUGACGCCUGCCCGGUGCCGGAAGGUUAAUUGAUGGGGUCAGCGCAAGCGAAGCUCUUGAUCGAAGCCCCGGUAAACGGCGGCCGUAACUAUAACGGUCCUAAGGUAGCGAAAUUCCUUGUCGGGUAAGUUCCGACCUGCACGAAUGGCGUAAUGAUGGCCAGGCUGUCUCCACCCGAGACUCAGUGAAAUUGAACUCGCUGUGAAGAUGCAGUGUACCCGCGGCAAGACGGAAAGACCCCGUGAACCUUUACUAUAGCUUGACACUGAACAUUGAGCCUUGAUGUGUAGGAUAGGUGGGAGGCUUUGAAGUGUGGACGCCAGUCUGCAUGGAGCCGACCUUGAAAUACCACCCUUUAAUGUUUGAUGUUCUAACGUUGACCCGUAAUCCGGGUUGCGGACAGUGUCUGGUGGGUAGUUUGACUGGGGCGGUCUCCUCCUAAAGAGUAACGGAGGAGCACGAAGGUUGGCUAAUCCUGGUCGGACAUCAGGAGGUUAGUGCAAUGGCAUAAGCCAGCUUGACUGCGAGCGUGACGGCGCGAGCAGGUGCGAAAGCAGGUCAUAGUGAUCCGGUGGUUCUGAAUGGAAGGGCCAUCGCUCAACGGAUAAAAGGUACUCCGGGGAUAACAGGCUGAUACCGCCCAAGAGUUCAUAUCGACGGCGGUGUUUGGCACCUCGAUGUCGGCUCAUCACAUCCUGGGGCUGAAGUAGGUCCCAAGGGUAUGGCUGUUCGCCAUUUAAAGUGGUACGCGAGCUGGGUUUAGAACGUCGUGAGACAGUUCGGUCCCUAUCUGCCGUGGGCGCUGGAGAAUUGAGGGGGGCUGCUCCUAGUACGAGAGGACCGGAGUGGACGCAUCACUGGUGUUCGGGUUGUCAUGCCAAUGGCACUGCCCGGUAGCUAAAUGCGGAAGAGAUAAGUGCUGAAAGCAUCUAAGCACGAAACUUGCCCCGAGAUGAGUUCUCCCUGACUCCUUGAGAGUCCUGAAGGAACGUUGAAGACGACGACGUUGAUAGGCCGGGUGUGUAAGCGCAGCGAUGCGUUGAGCUAACCGGUACUAAUGAACCGUGAGGCUUAACCUU
rnacentral:rRNA from 1 species